rnacentral:tRNA from 1 species
UCGGUAGCUUAUUUUGUAAAGCACUUGUCUACCAUUCAAGAGUCGUGGGUUCGAAUCCCUCCUGA